rnacentral:rRNA from 1 species
UACGGGGGGGGCAAGCGUUGUUCGGAAUUACUGGGCGUAAAGGGUGCGUAGGCGGUGCUCUAAGUCGGAUGUGAAAACUCUGGGCUCAACCCAGAGCCUGCAUCCGAAACUGGAGUGCUAGAGUUCUGGAGGGGGUAGCGGAAUUCCUGGUGUAGCGGUGAAAUGCGUAGAUAUCAGGAGGAACACCGGUGGCGAAGGCGGCUACCUGGACAGAAACUGACGCUGAGGCACGAAAGCGUGGGGAGCAAACAGG